rnacentral:rRNA from 1 species
UUAUAAUCUGAGCCUUCUCGGCGCCUCUCGUAGGCGUUUCGAAAAUGAAUCAAAACUUUCAACAACGGAUCUCUUGGUUCUGGCAUCGAUGAAGAACGCAGCGAAAUGCGAUAAGUAAUGUGAAUUGCAGAAUUCAGUGAAUCAUCGAAUCUUUGAACGCACAUUGCGCCCGCCAGUAUUCUGGCGGGCAUGCCUGUCCGAGCGUCAUUUCAACCCUCGAACCCCUCCGGGGGGUCGGCGUUGGGGAUCGGCCCUGCCUUGGCGGUGGCCGUCUCCGAAAUACAGUGGCGGUCUCGCCGCAGCCUCUCCUGCGCAGUAGUUUGCACACUCGCAUCGGGAGCGCGGCGCGUCCACAGCCGUUAAACACCCAACUUCUGAAAUGUUGACCUCGGAUCAGGUAGGAAUACCCGCUGAACUUAAGCAUAUCAAUAAGCGGAGGGAAAAAACCAACCCGGGA